rnacentral:rRNA from 1 species
AACGAACGCUGGCGGCAGGCCUAACACAUGCAAGUCGAACGCCCCGCAAGGGGAGUGGCAGACGGGUGAGUAACGCGUGGGAACCUACCUAGAGGUGCGGAAUAGCCCAGGGAAACUUGGAGUAAUACCGCAUAAGCCCGCAAGGGGAAAGAUUUAUCGCCUUUAGAUGGGCCCGCGUCUGAUUAGCUAGUUGGUGAGGUAAUGGCUCACCAAGGCGACGAUCAGUAGCUGGUUUGAGAGAAUGACCAGCCACACUGGGACUGAGACACGGCCCAGACUCCUACGGGAGGCAGCAGUGGGGAAUCUUGGACAAUGGGGGCAACCCUGAUCCAGCCAUGCCGCGUGAGUGACGAAGGCCUUAGGGUUGUAAAGCUCUUUUGGCGGGGACGAUAAUGACGGUACCCGCAGAAUAAGUCCCGGCUAACUUCGUG